UACAGAGGGGGCAAGCGUUGUUCGGAAUUACUGGGCGUAAAGGGCGCGUAGGCGGCCUGUUAAGUCGAACGUGAAAUCCCCGGGCUCAACCCGGGAACUGCGUCCGAUACUGGCAGGCUCGAAUCCGGGAGAGGGAUGCGGAAUUCCAGGUGUAGCGGUGAAAUGCGUAGAUAUCUGGAGGAAUACCAGUGGCGAAGGCGGCAUCCUGGACCGGCAUUGACGCUGAGGAGCGAAAGCUAGGGGAGCAAACGGGG
rnacentral:rRNA from 1 species